AAGGCAGCCCCAGAAGGCUGCAGAAACACCGUGGCUGUUGCAGGUGCCAUCAGCCCAGCAAAUGCAAGAGGAGCCCCCGGCGCCCGAGGAGGAGCCACUGAAAGCCGAGGGAGAGCAGAGCAUGCAGCACUGUACACAUUUGCAUAGUAUGUUUUACCCAGCAUGCCUCGUCGAAUGCUACACAGACAGUAUCUAUAGAGGAAAUACUUGUAAGGCAAGUGAUCUGUGGUAUGUGACGUUUACAGACAAGGCAGUCAAACGCGGUGUCAGCAGCAGGACCCAGUCCAGACAGUCCCGCACUGCCAAGACGUCUGAGGGGAAAAGAAACCACCAGCAACGCUCUGCGAAUGGGCACUGGCAGCUGCCCUGCUGGAGGCACCGAGCGCCCUCCGCCCCAUGCCUGCUGGCGUGCCUGGGUCGCUCAGAGCCAGCCAGAAAGACGCGGUGCCAGAAGCGGGCUCGGCAAUGAGAAGUGGUGUGCCUAGCGAGACACGGGGCGUGCUUCACGAACUCCUCUUGCUUAGCAAGUACAGAAUAUGGGGCACCACCUCAUUUCCAUGGUAAGACGAUAUUUCAGAGGAAAAUCUAGGCAUAGGGCCACGCUGCACUAGCGGUGCUUGACUGAUUUUUACCAGCCCACCACGUUUAGAAAAUGAUCACAGAAUUUGGCCUACUAUUUAUAAACUAAAAUGUGACGUAGAACGGCUUUAAUUGUCUUCCCUUUUAAACAGCAAUUUCAUAAUAUACUCACUGAGAAAACACCGUCAGUUGUGAGGUGCACAUCCCAUAGGAUAACUGCUCGGCCAUGUAGCUAAGUAUAAGAACCUGUACAUCUGUUAAAUACAACUUGCCAAAAAGGAAAUACUUUGAAUUAAGAAUUUAACAGUGAAUGGUCUUUAAAGGGGCUACAAGAUUUUUGAAAUACUUUGCUAAUCCAUUCACAAGCACAUGAAUGCACUGACAUAUAUUGUCUUUAGACCUUAAUACUGCCGUAUCACUUUUAUUGGGCAAACUAUCAGCAAUCCAAAAGUGUCCUAACAAAAAAAAAAAAACCAACAAAAUGUAACAAAAAAAAAAAAAAACAUUUCUAAAAUUCUCUGUAUAAGCCAGAGCUUAGGAACAGAACUCUGAUCUUUACGGUAAUAAUAUUUUAAUAGCAAGAGAAAUGGUAUGAGGACUGGAAAAUUAGUCGUACUCGUAUUCAUUGAGGAAUACAUGAACUUCACAAUUUUAUAUAGCGCCAUUGCAUAAUAAAUCACAAUACAGCUGGCUAGCA
rnacentral:lncRNA from 1 species